rnacentral:lncRNA from 1 species
UUCCAAACCACACGAUGAUUUGCCAACUUCAUUUGUCAGAUUAUCCCAGCUCUGAAUUACAGGGACAGGAUGGGAGAUCCAGCUUGCUGCAAUUUAACUGCCUGACUUUUAAUUAACUCAGAAUUUGUAUUCAAUUAGGAGCCCUCAGAGGCAAGGAGGUGGGGGUACAGUCCAGGCUGAACUUGAUAUACCAUCCCAGAGAGAGGGCCACAUCUUUCAAUGUAAUAGCCAGUAAGUAUAAUGUUAACUAAUAAAAGAUCAUCAAUAGACAUUAAUGACCCUCCUAAUACUGUGACAAAGGUAAAGUAAAUUACAGACUGCUCUGUCAGAUAUCCUAAUUCAUAUUAGAGUUUAACCCAGCUCAGGUGUUGUGACCCUGCCCUUGUAGGGGUUCUUCAACAUAAUAACCAGUGAAAUUAUGACUCCAUUAGGGGAAAUGUAAUGAAAUCUCAGCAAGAAAGAAUAUGUGGACAACAGACUUGUACAUUUAGGGCAAUGAUGCAACCCAUGCACACUGCCCAUAUGCCCAGUCGUUAAUGGCAACCCAUGGAUCCAUAGCUUUGCUUUCAGCUUGUCCCAUGAUCCUCUGCCAGUCCUGACUGUGUGUAUCAUGGGAACUGUAGUUGACAAACCUUUUUGGAGGUCAUGUUGGCCAUUGCUAUUGUGGAUCCAGAAAUCAACUUAUUACUGUACAAUGUGCUGAUUGUAUUUUACUCUAAAUACAGCACAAGCCCCAGAGUUUCACUUGGUGUCCGGCACCCUUUAGUGUUGACACUGAGAGUAAUCUGUAUUUUGGUCUGUUAAAGAGUUCAAAAUGUAUCGUUUGGUGAAUAGUUUAUUAAAAGGACACUAUAGGCACCCAGACCACUUCAUCUCAUUGAAGUGGUCUGGGUGCUGUGUCCCCUAGGGCUGCAAUGUAAAAUAUUGCAGUUUUUGAGAAACUCCAGUGUUCACAUUGCAGUACUAAUACUGAGUCUAGUGACUGUCUACCAGACCGCAACUACAGGAGUUUCUGGAAGAUUACCAGACUCUCAGUCCCUUAACUGACGCUGGAUGUCCUCGGGCUCUGUAUGGGGAAAUCCAGCAUCCGUGAAAUUCCCAUAGGAAAGCAUUGAGGCAAAAUGUAGUCGUGGUGCUCACUGUGCAUUAGCCCCCUUAGGAGGGAUGCAAUGCGCUGAGGGUGAUUGGCGCUGGAAUUGGGUAAGUAAAUAAUAUGCCGGACCAAAAGGGCAUUAUAGUGUUGGGAAUAAAACUUUUUUUUUUUUUUUAUAACACUAUUGAAUCCCUUAAACUAACGGUGAUCAAUGUCAUUCUCUGUGUCCCAAGGGCCAUGACUCUUUGUGGUUUAGUACCAUUCCUACCUGGCACUCCGUAUUUGGGCCUUCUCUCUGCCAGGGGAUUGCAGUUGGUGGAUUCAGAGAGAGGUUAGGAUUAGAGUAUCUUGACACAGACUUUCACAGGUAAACCUGUUGGAGAGGGUUUCUGUGAUCAGGAGAUUGAUUGGUGGGUGUAUGUAUGUAUGUAUGUAUGUGUGUGUGUGUGUGUGUGUGUGUGUGUGUGUGUAUAUAUAUAUAUAUAUAUAUAUAUAUAUAUAUAUAUAUAUAUAUAUAUAAAUAUCUCUCUUAUCUGACUUUAAGAUUUCCGUUCCACAUUCAUACAAGUUGAAUUUGUGAACUAGUAAAAUGCCCCCAAAUCAGACAAAUCCAUGACCUUUUUCAUGUCUGCGCACUGAUAUGGAUAUGAUGUAAUCCUUGUCUCAAUAACUUCAUAAUUACUUGGUAAAUGUGUACAGCAUGAAUAUUGCUGUCUGUUGGAGAUGCAGCCGAGCAGCCCCCCUCUACUCCCAUUUUUACUGUAGGUGCAUGUAUCCAUUUUACAACAUAAAAAAAAAAUGCCAUUUUGAAUGUAUGCUUGGAAAAACACAGAAUAAAACAAAGUAUUGCAACUGCAAUUGGCAGGAAUUAAUGGUAAAAUGGUCAAAUGAAAAGUGACUAAAUACCCUCUGAAUAAUGGUUUAGAUUCAGAAUGUGUGACGUAACCUAUGCUUUGUGCUUCUCUGCAGACCAUUAAAGGGUUACUCCAAGCACCGUGACCAUUUAAUUGAUUUGAAGUUGUCAAAAUGCUUGGAGUCUAAUUAACCCCUGAGCUGCCAGAGAUGUAUGUCCACCUCCGUUCGUAUCAUUAGCUAGCCCUGGGCAGCCAAUGGUGGCACAGCCCAUCCGUGGGUCCUUCUUCCCUAUUGUCCAGUGAGGGGGAGCAAUGAACGCCUUGGAGGUUACGUUAACCAAAAGCAAUGUGUUAUGGAAACUCUGUUGGUUGCAGUAACAUUUUAACAGUGUCUUUGACAAAAAACAACGAAAAGGUUUUAUUUGUAACUACCAAAACAGAUUAACGUCCUAGAUACAUUAUGUACUCUGUCAAUAAAAAAGUAAUCUUUUAAUUAUGCAAAACUACUGGGGGGAUUAUAUAAACCUAUAAGCAUGUUUUUUUUUUUUAAAAACCUUAUUUUCUUAACUUUUGACUUAAAAUGACUGUGUAUUUUUGAAUGCCUGAUUUAGUAUCCUAUUUACAAAAGAAUAAUCCAAAAGCCUAUUCUAGCAUUUUUACCCUGCUACCUCCUGCCCCAAAUCCCACAUUUUAAAAAACUUCAUUGUUAUUCGGUCCAUUUAUUUUAUUUUAUUCCAUUCUCCCUCCCGCAGGAGCUGGGAAAAAUACAGAGAUAUCCUGAAUGAAAAAUCUGAUACAGAGACUCUGGACUUCAGACUGGGCAAAAGGUUGACCUUCCAACAAGACAAUGACCCCAAGCACAUAACCACUCUUUCAUCGUAUUGGUUAUGUGACCAUGCUGAAUGUCAUUGAUUGGCCCAGACGGAGCCAGGACAUGAACUCAAUCUAACAUUUCUGGAAACCACUGAAAAUGUCCAUCCACCAAUACAACCUGCGAUAGAUAAAUGUCAGAAACUACCCAAAUCCUGUAAUCACUGCAAAAAGUUCUGUAACAAAAAACUGAGUUACAGGUCUAAAUAUGUUAAGGAACUGUAUGGGCACCAUUGAAAUAACAACAUUAUGGUACACAGAGACCCCUGGCAUUUUCUUUCUUGAAGGGAUUAACCCCAAAUGUUACUCUCAAACACCAGAUCUCCCUGGUCCCAGCGGGAGUUGGUUUGUUCAAAACAGUUUCAGAAAGUGUGG